CCCGGGUACUUGAAGGCCGCCGGGCUCCGCCUUCACCACGUGGGCCCUGAGUUCCUCCGCGGCGCCUUCGUGGGCGACACGCGAUUCCUGAGCUUCCACAGCCGCGGCGAGAAUCAGAGCGUGAAGCGCGGGUGGAGAAGAUGGCACAGGGCUGUGGGCGCCCUGAGGAAAGUUCUCGAAGACCGCAGGGAAUGUGUUACUGAGGGGCCUGAGGUUCCUGGGCCCGCACCACCACCAGGGUCAGCCGGUGAGUGACCUCAGACUCCGGGCACAGGUGUGCCCCGCCCCGACCCCAGAGUGACCAGCCCGGUUCUCCCAGGGAUGGGGGGGCGGGGCCUCAGCUGAUCCCUCUCAGGUGGGGAAGCGCUGGGGCCAUUUUGCUCCAGGUUUCUCCUUCAAUCUGGAUCAUGACUGACUUGUUCUGUGACCAAUGACAGAGGGAGGAAGGAGCUGGGGUGGGCGGGGCGACCUCCCUCCCCUCCCUGGCCCCGCCUCCGGCUCACCCUGGGGCAGGUCCAGGGCACCGCACCUGCAGAUGCUGCUGUCUGGCUGGGUGGUGGCUCCGGACAGGAGCUUCCUCGAAGGACACUUUAAGUCCGCCUACGACAAGGAGAUUUCAUGUCCCUGAACGAGGACCUGCAGACCUGGACAGCGGCUCAAAGAGCGGCUUGGAGGAUCCAUCACACCUGGGAGAGGUUCUGGACCGCGGAGGCCACAAGGGAAGCCCCGAUGGGUCACUGCACUAGGUGGCUGCUCAGACACCUGGAGCAUGGCAAGGAGAUGAUGCUGCCGGCAGAAGAUAAAACACCAGGAAACGGAAUCGGCAGAGACACAGUAGAUGAAAGUACCACGAAGGACUGCUAGGUUCUAAUAGAAAGUAGCAGAUAGCCCCGUGGAGAUUCCUGCUGUGCAGCAAAGCCUGGGAGGGGCCCUUGGCUGUGGAAGGCAGGCUGAGACGUCAUAGGAACUUCCUUCUCUGGGAUCCCAAACUCCUAGACCAGCUGAGUACGUUGAGGGGAUGGGAAGCACCAACACCCCACGCGGGUUACCGGAAGUGCUGGUUCUGGAGAAUAUAGCAAUCUCGCAGCAGGAUUCUGAGAACCUCCCAUCCAUGCUUCAAGCUGAAGUCUUCAGUAUAUGCUUCCCUGACCUCCCUACUGCAGCUUCCAGGAGCUCCAAUGGUGACUGGUAUUAUUAUAGUAUCCUGCUGCUGCUAUAACAAAUUACCACAACUAUGUGGCUUAAAACAACACCAAUGUAUUCUCUUAUAGUUCUGGAGGUAAGAAGUCAAAAAUGUGUCACUAUGGGCUAAAAUUAACAUGUCGUCAGAGCUGCAUUUCUUCUGAGGCUCUAAAGGAAAAUCUGUUUCCUCACCCUUUCCAGCUUCUUGGGGCUGCCUGCAUUCUUUGGCUUGUGGUCUCUUCCUCCAUCUUCCAAGUCAGCAGUCACAUCACUUUGACCUCUGAUUCUGUUGUCACAGCUCUAACUCUGAUGCUGCUUUCUACUCCUUUCACUUAUAAGGACUAUUGUGAUUACAUCGAACCUGCCCAGAUAAUCCAGGAUAAUCUUCCCAUCUCAAGAGCCUCAGCUUAAUCACAUCUGAAAAUUUCCUUUUGCCCUAUUAGGAGACAUUUUUAUAAGUUCCAGGGAUUAGGACACAGACAUAUUUAGGAGACUGUUAUUCUGCCUGUCACAUGACUUCACCAAUAUUUGCUACCCGUGGUUUCCAAACAUUAGUGUAUGCUCUUAUUUCUAUUUAUUCCUGAAAUACCAGAGUGAGUCUGUUUUUCUGAAAACAGCUCACUAAUGCCCAGAGGAGCUCAAAAAUUUUCUGUCUGUUGUCUCAAAGUCUCCAAAUUGUACUGAUUCUUCAACGUGCAUGGCUGUAAAUUAGGCAAUAAUCUUGCUGGGGUGUUGGAAGGAAAAGAAAGGGAAUGAUUAGACAGCCCUUCUGAUUCGGGACAGAAUCUGAUUCGGGACACUGUCCCUGAUGGCUGGCCAUCUUGGGCUGUAAUCCAGUUUCCCUCCCACGUAGACCCGGUCAUUUCUGACUCCCCAAGAGGUUUUCACAGUAUUCAUGUCCACUUCCUUCAUCAGUCAUCUUCUUGUCUUAUAUCUCCAUGUUUACAUUUUUCUUCUCUUCUACCACUGUAGUUCUGCCUUGAUUCUUCAGCCAUUGCCUUCCUUUUGCAUGCAUGUGCUUCAGCCAGUUCUCUAGGAAGACAUUCCAGACAGCUCAUUAUCACUUGUUACUAUGUUUAUUUGACUGCAGAGCUUUGAAGAUUUGUAACUUUCUAUUUUUUAAAUUUUAGUGUAAAAAUAAUUCUUGCUCACAGUAGGAAAUGAAACAAUCAAAAUAUGCAUAAAUAUACUUUUAAAUCUCUCCUUUCACUAAAUCCAAACCCACUUAACUAAGGUGAUUACUAUUGUAUCAGCCUACUCUCUGCAUGUCUACUUUCUUCACUUGCACGCAAACCAUAGUGAGUGUUUUUAUCUGGUAGCUUUUGUUGAGCUGUAAUGACUAUAAGUUUUAUAUGUAAUUUAAUCAUUUUCAGGGCAACUUGAGAUAUAAUUUAAAUAGUAUAAAAUCCGCACAUUCAAAAUAUACAAUUCAGUGGCUUUUAGAAUAUUCACAGUUGUGCCUCCAUUACCACAAUCAAUUACAGAUCCUUUUAUCUCCUCCCAGCCCUGCAGAAAAAUCCAUAUCCAAACCCCAGCCCUAAGAAACUACCAACCUAUGUUUUAACUCUACAGAUUUACCUAUUCUGAACAUUUUAUGUAAUGAAAUUAUACAACAUGUGGCUUUUUGUG